GUGCCUACGGGGCGCAGCAGUGGGGAAUAUUGCACAAUGGGCGCAAGCCUGAUGCAGCGACGCCGCGUGCGGGAUGGAGGCCUUCGGGUUGUAAACCGCUUUUGUUCAAGGGCAAGGCACGGUCUUUGGCCGUGUUGAGUGGAUUGUUCGAAUAAGCACCGGCUAACUACGUGCCAGCAGCCGCGGUAAUACGUAGGGUGCAAGCGUUAUCCGGCUUUAUUGGGCGUAAAGGGCUCGUAGGCGGUUCGUAGCGGCCGGUGUGAAAGUCGAUCGCUUAACGGGGGAUCCGCGGCGGGUACGGGCGG
rnacentral:rRNA from 1 species